UGGAUCAUCCGUGACAUUGGUGACAAGACAGCUCUCGUUUCACACAUUAAUUUGGAAAUAUAAAGUCAUGAUCGUGGUUACUCGUGACUGAGUAUGGGAUGAGUCAGCCAACAAUUUUUGUAUAGUUUGGCAAAAAGGUCCAAAGUCCAUUUGUUUGUUUAGAGAGUAUCAUGUGUAAGAUUUUGCAAGGAAUGAUGUUGCAUUUCGUUGUUUACAUGGUGCAUAAAUCUCUUUUGAUAAGCCAUAUCAUUUAUCUCUCACACACACAUACACAUUAAUAUAUAAAGCUACAAGUAUAUGAGAUCCUUUGUUUCAGUCUCAGAAACAAGAACAUGCUUUUCCAGGAAUUUUACCGGUUUUACGUACAAUACCGGCUCUCUCCUUCACCUUCAACUCUUCGUUCUGCCUUUGUUUCUCUGCCUGAGCUCUGGCUCCGGCAGCAAUAUGUUCGAUGUAUUCCAUGUCUUCUCUAAAUCUCUGCAAUCCUCUCUUUCUCCUCUGUUCUUGUUCGCUCUGCUGUUUCAUGUACCAACUAUGGUUAGAUAAAACACAUUUUCAGACUAUCAUGAGAUUAGACUGAACAAAGUCAAAUAACAUUAUCAACCUCAGAUUUGUCCAGCUUCCUGUUACGUGAAACGUAACGAGUCUGGUCAAAAGCAAAUGAUCUCAAGAAAACAAGAUAAUAUUCAUAGAAUUAAAGAACUGAGUACAAGGUUCAGAGACGUUCAUGGCGUCUCCUUUCUCUCUUUAACCACUAAAACCCAGAUACCCCCUUUCCCAAAACCCUACAGCUCAUAUAUAGAUAAAGCAUAAAGUUAAAGCAACUAAACCAUGGUUACUCUUUUAUUAAACUAGAGUUACUUCUACUUAUUCUCUUUUAACCCAUGCCCACACGUAUCACUUCCUUCUAGCUUUGUCCCUCUUCUUGGCUUCCCAUAAAUCGAUCUUUCUGUUUAACUUCUCGUACCUGAGCAUGUGUUACUUCCCCCUUUGAAUUCAACCUUGUCCUCAAGGUUGAAGCUAAAUGACAGCUUUUGGUAGCAACCUUCCAAUUCCAUAAGCAUUUAUCAUCCUGAAGAUCCCCAUGACCAACAGUGCCUUCUGCCAACUCUCGUUCUCUAUAUGUUCACUGUGUAAGUUGCAGUAACAGUCCAAAGCCUUGAACUGGCUCCAAGCCUGAGUAAAGUAAGCCUUUUCCCACUCCAUGGCUUUCUCCAGAUUAAGGCAGAACCUCAUCUCUCUAUUCAGCUCUUCCUCUUGCCUAAGCAUGCUCUGUAGUUGCUGUUUUCUCUCACCAAAUAACAUGAAUUCUAAACGCAGUAGAUCACUUUCUUUUUCAUUGUGUCUCAGCGAGCUGUAACUUCCCCUGUAACUCCAACACCCAUCACAACACUGUUUGAGCAGCUUGCAAGUCAUCUCCGGUGGUCUUGGCAAUUGAGACAUCUCAUGCGUGGACUGAGGCAGAACAGAUCCAAGGAUUCCAAAGAAACUUUUAUUUCCUGCAUCUUCGACCCUUUCACUACUACUCUGGAGCAUAUUUUCUGUGUCAACUUGUGUAACAGCUACUCCUCCUGGUUCCCAUACCCUUCUAGCCAAAGAGACACUGAAACAUAACUCCCACCUGACCUUAUCAUGAUUGUUUCCUAAUAGCACAUAUCGCCUUGUUAGUGGUGUUGAGAUGUUCUUGCCUUUGUCUUGCCACUUUUCCAUCAACUUGAACAAGUUUACAUCUUUGAAAACUUCUAUCUCCAUCUUGUUCAGAUUCAAUGAUGUCUCGUCGUAUAGUUCAACAGCUUCAGGUCUCCUUAACCAUUUCACAGAAAUGACAACGUAAUUUUUCAUCCCAACCAAGCAGCACGUUUCUCCAAAUUCUUUUCUUGAAGUGUUUUUCUUGUGGACAAUGACAAGAGUGAAAUCAUGGUCAGCCUUGGCCAGUUUAGAUGCAAAGCACUUCCUGUAAAUGAAAAUAGUUGCAGUCCUUGGAAGCAAGCAUUUAUGUCCAAGGCUGUGACUUUCUCCACUAAACUCCAUCAUCGAAUAAGUAUUAGUGGCAAGGUCAAGUAUACUCAGACUAGUUCUGGCCUUGCCUCUUGGACCAGACCAUGAAUCCUCCCACACCGAUUGAAAUCCAAGACCGGCUGUAUGAGAUGCUUGAGAAUAUCCCUCACCGUUCAGCCAAGCUCUACCGCCGCCACCAAUAGAACUCUGCUCAUCGCAUCCUCUAGUUGUAAUUCCCGGCCCACUGUGGCAGCAGGUACCUAGUAACCCAUUUCCUUGCGUGUAAUCCUGCUGUAGAUUCUUCCUGUCCGUAAAAUAAGCCAAUCUAAUUCCCUCGAGUGGUCCUUUUGGACGCAGAUUCUGAUGUGGAAGACGAGAUUCCCGUUUUGAUCUUUCCUCCCUACGUCUACUUUCAAGGCUCACAUAGACUAACAAGUUCAACCCAUCUCCUACUUUUACCUCCACUGGAAACUCCCCCGGAAUGUAAAUGGUUUCUUGGUUUUCCCACUGAGCUUGUUUCUGGAGUCCUACUCCUGGCUUCCAAUAUCUUAUCACUGCACAGUCUCGAUCGAGAUAUGAUCCACCUGGAUCCCAUUCAAAACAAAUCACAGAUUCAGAUCCAUCUUUUCUCUGCAGAAUUGGAGACCAUGUCUUAACAGCAGCACUAACAGUGAUCAACUUUUUCUCCAUAUGCUGCCAUUGAUUCUUUCCGAAACACGCUUGGCCUCGAUCCCACACCUUUAACUCACGCCGAAAACUCCAUUUCUCAGAGAAGUUUAACCAAAUUUCCAGAUUGGCUUUUGGGCGCUUCAACCAUUCCAACAAAAACUUCAUCAAAGCUAUUCUAACAAGCAAGCUGAGCAUUUCAUCAGUCAUCCGCCCUAACCUCGACCUUGUUCUUUUUCUCACCCUGCUAGCAGUCAAUAUCACCAAAACAUUUAGUUUGAUCAUCUUCCUCUGCUUGUUAUGCUUCUGUCUGUACUUGCGUUUCAUCCAUUUUGCAAGCUUCUUCAGCACACUCUUGCAUUCCUGUUUCAGCUUCUCUAGCUUCAGCUCACAUCUGGUCCUUUGCCUCACAUACACCAGCUUUGUUCUUACUCUCUUCUUCGUGAAUCUCCACCCAAACAUCUUGUAUAACACCCGUAGACUGUGACACAACUGGUGGCUCAAUCUUUGAGCUGGCUUCCUUUUACUCCCAUCCUGGUUAUUAGGCUUGGACACCAUUCUCUUUCUCCUGCUCGUCACUUUCUUUGACUCAGACAUUCUAGCGAACACUUGUAAGGCAUAAAUAUCUUUGUUCUGAUUUUUAUCUUUUUGUUGCUGCGCUUCUUUUCUCUGUCUAGUGCCCAACCCAUUUCUCAUCUCCUCAGAAAUUAAACGCCAUUGAAUCCUACAUGGUACCUUCCAUCUCUUCUUCUUCUUCCUGAUCUUCCCUUUCUUCACUGCUGAUUGGGUUUUCUGAAGCAGAGCUGGAACUUCUCCUUGUGCGUCUUUCUCACACGACCUCGCAUCUCCUGCUUUCUCAGAUAUGACCAACUGAUUCGCCAUCUCCCCUGUCAUCAGAUCCUUCUCCACCAGUUUUUUCACCGGCGGAUCUUCGUCUUCCGGUUCAGACGAAGUCCGAGAGGGCUCGAUCUUCUGGAUGUUGUUCAUCACCGGCAAGAUUGGCUCUACACGACUUAUCAUGGAUUGGAUCUCCUCCGUCGAAAUACCACUCGCCUUAGCCUCUUCGUUCCAACGCUUCGCCAUCUGCUCCAGGAAUGAGAGUCUGCUCAGCCGCUCUUGGAUUGCCAACACGGCCAGCUCCAGGGAUUUCACUCUGUCCCUAUUUUGCUGCCGUUGCUCCCCAACCUGCGAUGUCAACUCCCUCACCUUCUGUUGCAUUUGUUUCAGCAUAUGAACUCUAUCAGCAUCCAGCGGUGGCAUAUUGUCUCCGGAAUCGAACUGCUCUGAUACCAUUUGUUACGUGAAACGUAACGAGUCUGGUCAAAAGCAAAUGAUCUCAAGAAAACAAGAUAAUAUUCAUAGAAUUAAAGAACUGAGUACAAGGUUCAGAGACGUUCAUGGCGUCUCCUUUCUCUCUUUAACCACUAAAACCCAGAUACCCCCUUUCCCAAAACCCUACAGCUCAUAUAUAGAUAAAGCAUAAAGUUAAAGCAACUAAACCAUGGUUA
rnacentral:lncRNA from 1 species